rnacentral:rRNA from 1 species
UGGGGAAUAUUGCACAAUGGGCGAAAGCCUGAUGCAGCAACGCCGCGUGAAGGAUGAAGGGUUUCGGCUCGUAAACUUCUAUCAACAGGGACGAAAAAAAUGACGGUACCUGAAUAAGAAGCCCCGGCUAACUACGUGCCAGCAGCCGCGGUAAUACGUAGGGGGCAAGCGUUAUCCGGAAUUACUGGGUGUAAAGGGAGAGUAGGCGGCAUGAUAAGUUAGAUGUGAAAGCCUUGGGCUUAACCCGAGGAUUGCAUUUAAAACUAACAAGCUAGAGUAAAGGAGAGGGAAGUGGAAUUCCUUGUGUGGCGGUGAAAUGCGUAGAUAAUAGGAAGAACACCAGUGGGGAAGGAGACUUAAUGGACUGAAACUGACGCUGAGGCUCGAAAGAGUGGGGAGCGAACAGGAUU